rnacentral:rRNA from 1 species
ACCCGUCUUGAAGCACGGACCAAGGAGUCUAACAUGCGCGCGAGUCGUUGGGUCGGACACGCUCCGCUAAACCCAUAGGCGCAAUGAAAGUGAAGGCCGCCGUCGGGCGGCCGAGGGAGGACGGGGCCUCCGCGCGUUCCGGCGCGCGUGGGUCCCCGCACCCCCGGGGCGUCUGAUCCCUCAUCGCGAGGGGAGGCGCACCCAGAGCGCACACGUUGGGACCCGAAAGAUGGUGAACUAUGCCUGGCCAGGACGAAGUCAGGGGAAACCCUGAUGGAGGUCCGUAGCGAUUCUGACGUGCAAAUCGAUCGUCGGAGCUGGGUAUAGGGGCGAAAGACUAAUCGAACCAUCUAGUAGCUGGUUCCCUCCGAAGUUUCCCUCAGGAUAGCUUGCGCUCGGAGGAGAGUCUCAUCCGGUAAAGCGAAUGAUUAGAGGCCUUGGGGCCGAAACGGCUUCAACCUAUUCUCAAACUUUAAAUGGGUGAGAACUCCGGCUUGCUCGACUUGUCGAAGCCGGAGACGGGGCUCCGGCCCCCGGGAUCGGAGUGCAUAGUGGGCCACUUUUGGUAAGCAGAACUGGCGCUGUGGGAUGAACCAAACGACGGGUUAAGGCGCCCGAAUCGACGCUCAUGGGAAACCAUGAAAGGUGUUGGUUGCUUAAGACAGCAGGACGGUGGCCAUGGAAGUCGGAAUCCGCUAAGGAGUGUGUAAUAACUCACCUGCCGAAGCAACUAGCCCUGAAAAUGGAUGGCGCUGAAGCGUCGUGCCUAUACCCGGCCGUCGCGGCAGGGCGGACCCGCGAGGGUGCCGUUCGAUGCGGCGACGAGUAGGAGGGUCGCGGCGGCGCGCGCAGAAGGGUCUGGGCUCGAGCCUGCCUGGAGCCGCCGCCGGUGCAGAUCUUGGUGGUAGUAGCAAAUACUCCAGCGAGGCCCUGGAGGACUGAUGUGGAGAAGGGUUUCGUGUGAACAGCCGUUGCACACGAGUCAGUCGAUCCUAAGCCCUAGGAGAAAUCCGACGCCAACGGCGACGGGAAAAAAUUCAGAAUCGAGAAAGCAACCCGUUGAUCGGGCGAAAGGGAAUCCGGUUCCUAUUCCGGAACCCGGCAGCGGAACCGCUGUUUGUCGGGCCCUCACAAGGGGUUCGUCAGGGUAACCUAAAAGGGCCCGGAGACGCCGUCGGGAGCCCCGGAAAGAGUUUUCUUUUCUGCAUGAGCGUUCGAGUUCCCUGGAAUCCUCUCGCAGGGAGAUAGGGUUUGGAACGCGAAGAGCACCGCAGUUGCGGCGGUGCCCGGGAAUUCCCGACGGACCUUGAAAAUCCGGGAGAGGGCCACGUGGAGGUGUCGCGCCGGCUCGUACCCAUAUCCGCAGCAG